ACUAAAAUAAAAUCCUAAAUAAAGCUGGAAAGCUUCCUAAACUAUUUUUAAAAUAACUCCUGCAGCUGUCCCUAGCUACAAUAGGAAGUCCAAAACGAAUUAGGACUGCUGGAGAUAUUUUCUGGAUCAAAAAUCACUGUUGCCCGCUGCUGGACAGAAGGUUAGACUCCCUGGGGGCAUGUUACUGGACUGUUACACGCCCUGGGUGCAUGUACCUUUCUGCCAAAACUGACUUCUCUUGAUUUGGACCCUAACAGCACUGCAUCAUACUCCCCCACUUGAAACAACUCGUCCUCGACGUAGACUUGUUAUAUAACAUUCUCCCCCACUUGGAAUAAACCCGUCCUCGAAUCUUGAAGUGUUGAAGAAUCAAAAAACUUCAUUGAAAGAGUACCCCAUACAGUAUUCUUGGAUGGAAUCAAUAAAAUUGACAUGAACAAAGUGGAAUUG
rnacentral:misc_RNA from 1 species